UACGUAGGAGGCAAGCGUUGUCCGGAUUUACUGGGCGUAAAGAGCGCGCAGGCGGUCGUUCAAGUCGAGUGUGAAAGCCCCCGGCUCAACUGGGGAGGGUCAUUCGAUACUGAUCGACUUGAAGGCAGGAGAGGGAAGCGGAAUUCCCGGUGUAGUGGUGAAAUGCGUAGAUAUCGGGAGGAACACCAGUGGCGAAGGCGGCUUCCUGGCCUGUUCUUGACGCUGAGGCGCGAAAGCUAGGGGAGCAAACGGG
rnacentral:rRNA from 1 species